GGGAAGGUAGCUCAGUGUGGUAGAGUGCUUGCCUUGCAUGCAUGAGGCCCUGGGUUCAAUUCCUCAGCACCA
rnacentral:tRNA from 1 species